ACGUCCUUCCCACGCCGAAUACACGGGUUUUCGCCCGAUCACCGAGGUUAAGGAGCGUCGAACGUGGUCAGUACUUGGAUAGGUGACCGCCUGAGAACACCGCGUAAUGUU